CUUGGCGUGCGGGAGGGCGGGGGAUCUUGCUCCCCUGGCGGCGAGUGGCGCCCGGGUGAGUAACGCGCAGGAAUCUGCCCAGUAGUGGGGGACAACUCGGAGAAAUCCGAGCUAAUACCGCAUACGCCCUUCGGGGGAAAGCGGGGGAUCUUCGGACCUCGCGCUAUUGGAUGAGCCUACGUCCGAUUAGCCUGUUGGUGGGGUAACGGCCUACCAAGGCGACGAUCGGUAGCUGGUCUGAGAGGAUGAUCAGCCACACUGGGACUGAGACACGGCCCAGACUCCUACGGGAGGCAGCAGUGGGGAAUAUUGGACAAUGGGGGAAACCCUGAUCCAGCAAUGCCGCGUGGGUGAAGAAGGCCUGCGGGUUGUAAAGCCCUUUCAGUUGGGAAGAAAAACUGAGCGCUAAUAUCGCUCGGUCCUGACGUUACCAACAGAAGAAGCACCGGCUAACUCCGUGCCAGCAGCCGCGGUAAUACGGAGGGUGCGAGCGUUAAUCGGAAUUACUGGGCGUAAAGGGCGCGUAGGCGGUCGCGCAAGUCGGGUGUGAAAGCCCCGGGCUCAACCUGGGAAUUGCAUUCGAUACUGCGUAACUAGAGUCUGGUAGAGGGAAGCGGAAUUCCGCAUGUAGCGGUGAAAUGCGUAGAUAUGCGGAGGAACACCAGUGGCGAAGGCGGCUUCCUGGACCAAGAC
rnacentral:rRNA from 1 species